AGUGAACGCUGGCGGUAGGCCUAACACAUGCAAGUCGAACGGCAGCACAGUAAGAGCUUGCUCUUACGGGUGGCGAGUGGCGGACGGGUGAGGAAUACAUCGGAAUCUACUUUUUCGUGGGGGAUAACGUAGGGAAACUUACGCUAAUACCGCAUACGACCUACGGGUGAAAGCAGGGGAUCUUCGGACCUUGCGCGAUUGAAUGAGCCGAUGUCGGAUUAGCUAGUUGGCGGGGUAAAGGCCCACCAGGGCGACGAUCCGUAGCUGGUCUGAGAGGAUGAUCAGCCACACUGGAACUGAGACACGGUCCAGACUCCUACGGGAGGCAGCAGUGGGGAAUAUUGGACAAUGGGCGCAAGCCUGAUCCAGCCAUACCGCGUGGGUGAAGAAGGCCUUCGGGUUGUAAAGCCCUUUUGUCGGGAAAGAAAAGCAGCAGGUUAAUACCCCGCUGUUCUGACGGUACCCAAAGAAUAAGCACCGGCUAACUUCGU
rnacentral:rRNA from 1 species